GAAUUCCACAGGUACAAAUUGCACCGUGUAUGGUUAUUCUUCCUUAGUGCGUAGAGCAAUAGAGAGCUUUCAAGUGAUGGACAAUUUACUGAUCUGAAGUACCUCUGGAUGUUUUUUCACUUGUUAAUUGAUACCAUAAUUUCUUUUGAGUGAAUUUUUUUUUGUUAGUAUUAUAAUAUAUAAGCUUGUAAAGCAUCACUGUUCUUUUCCAGUAAGCAACUGAUGGGUGCCUUUGGAAAGAAAGGAGACUAUUAAGACACCUUUACUGGGAAUACGCUUGAGGAUUUCUUUGCAUCACAAAUUUAAAAAUGAAAAUGAAAAUCAUUGUUCAUAUGAUAAUACAGGGGGAUUUUGGAAUCAACAUAGGGUUCUCCUUUGUAAUUUAUUUUUGCAUAAAAUGCUUAAAUUCUAUGUUAAACUCAUAAACCCAGAAAACUAAUAUUUAGGAUUUUAAAAACUUUGAUUUCAGAUUGAUAAAAAAUGAAGCCAUGAUAGUUUUAGACCAUCAUUUAUUCAUUCCAGCUUUGCAUGUAUGAAGAAAAUAGUCCCCAGCAUUAAGAUAUUUAUUAUUUGUUGAACAAGCAUUAACAAUUUUCUGGCUUGUGGCAAAGAAAAAU
rnacentral:misc_RNA from 1 species